rnacentral:lncRNA from 1 species
UGUAGCCACCUUUGAAUCCCCCCCUCUCCCAAUUAUGUCUCAAGCUCCUUUCAGACCCUAGCAGCCUUUAAUCACCACCCCAAAAUCAACCAAAUCCAUGGCCUCCAAAGUCAUUGAAGGCAUGUACCUACCUCCUAUGACAACUACAUGCUCAAUUAUCAUAGUUUCAAGGACAGAUCUUGAAGGAGCUUGGUCUAGACCUUGAAUGAGCUUGGUCUAGACCUUGGAUGCUUUUAGUCCUAUGGCUGUUUCCGGCCAUCUUUGACCUUGUUCCGGCUAGCUAUGGCUAUUCAAGCCCGACUCCUGGCGUCGCUUGCUUAGACCAAUGACUUUCCA